GUCUGGAAUGAGGAGGGAUGGUGUUGUGCCUGGUUAUUGGAGGAUCCAUGUGAAACGAGGGGAUGGCGAGGUGAUGGUCAGAUGGUGAAUGAUGUGUGUAUGGGUGAGGAAAAUUGGAGGUUGCGGUGCGAGCGGCAGUAGGGUGCCAUCAAGAGGUGUAGUUUGAAACAUCCCUAAUACAGGAUCACUUGGAUCCGUCGGCGAUGACGAGCGCGAAAGAAUGCGAAAAGUCCUCACGGAAUGCUCUA
rnacentral:rRNA from 1 species